GGAAUAUUGGACAAUGGGGGCAACCCUGAUCCAGCCAUGCCGCGUGUGUGAAGAAGGCCUUAGGGUUGUAAAGCACUUUCAGUGGGGAGGAAAACUUGUUGGUUAAUAACCAGCGAGCUUGACGUUACCCACCGAAGAAGCACCGGCUAACUCCGUGCCAGCAGCCGCGGUAAUACGGAGGGUGCAAGCGUUAAUCGGAAUUACUGGGCGUAAAGCGCACGUAGGUGGUUUGUUAAGCCAGCUGUGAAAUCCCCGGGCUCAACCUGGGAAUUGCAGUUGGAACUGGCAGGCUUGAGUACAGUAGAGGGGUGUGGAAUUUCAGGUGUAGCGGUGAAAUGCGUAGAUAUCUGAAGGAACAUCAGUGGCGAAGGCGACACCCUGGACUGAUACUGACACUGAGGUGCGAAAGCGUGGGGAGCA
rnacentral:rRNA from 1 species